rnacentral:rRNA from 1 species
AUUGAACGCUGGCGGCAUGCCUUACACAUGCAAGUCGAACGGCAGCACGGGAGCAAUCCUGGUAGCGAGUGGCGAACGGGUGAGUAAAGUAUCGGAACGUGCCCAGUCGUGGGGGAUAACGUAGCGGAAGUUACGCUAAUACCGCAUACGACCUAUGGAUGAAAGCGGGGGAUCGCAAGACCUCGCGCGAUUGGAGCGGCCGAUAUCAGAUUAGGUAGUUGGUGGGGUAAAGGCUCACCAAGCCGACGAUCUGUAGCUGGUCUGAGAGGACGACCAGCCACACUGGGACUGAGACACGGCCCAGACUCCUACGGGAGGCAGCAGUGGGGAAUUUUGGACAAUGGGCGAAAGCCUGAUCCAGCCAUGCCGCGUGCAGGAUGAAGGCCUUCGGGUUGUAAACUGCUUUUGUACGGAACGAAAAGGUUUGGCCUAAUAAGCUGAGCUCAUGACGGUACCGUAAGAAUAAGCACCGGCUAACUACGUGCCAGCAGCCGCAGUAA